AAAGGUAAGCUACUAAGAGCGAAUGGUGGAUGCCUUGACUGGUAAAGGCGAUGAAGGACGUACUAGACUGCGAUAAGCUACGGGGAGCUGUCAAGAAGCUUUGAUCCGUAGAUUUCCGAAUGGGGCAACCCAAUGUAUAGAGAUAUGCAUUACCUAUAUAGGAGCGAACGAGGGGAAUUGAAACAUCUUAGUACCCUCAGGAAAAGAAAUCAAUAGAGAUUGCGUCAGUAGCGGCGAGCGAAAGCGCAAGAGGGCAAACCCAGUGCUUGCACUGGGGGUUGUAGGACUGCAAUGUGCAAGAGGUAAGUUUAGCAGAACAUUCUGGAAAGUAUAACCAUAGAGGGUGAUAGUCCCGUAUGCGAAAAACAAACCUUAGCUAGCAGUAUCCUGAGUAGGGCGGGACACGAGGAAUCCUGUCUGAAUCCGGGUCGACCACGAUCCAACCCUAAAUACUAAUACCAGAUCGAUAGUGCACAAGUACCGUGAGGGAAAGGUGAAAAGAACUGAGGUGAUCAGAGUGAAAUAGAACCUGAAACCAUUUGCUUACA
rnacentral:rRNA from 1 species